UACGUAGGGGGCAAGCGUUGUCCGGAUUUAUGGGCGUAAAGAGCGUGUAGGCGGUCCGGUAAGUCCGCUGUGAAAGUCGGGGGCUCAACCCUCGAAUGCCGGUGGAUACUGUCGGGCUAGAGUGCGGAAGAGGCGAGUGGAAGUUCCUGGUGUCAGGCGGUGAAAUGACGCAGAGUAUCAGGAGGAACACCUAUUGCGAAGGCAGCUCGCUGGGACGUAACUGACGCUGGAGACGCGAAAGCGUGGGGAGCAAACAGG
rnacentral:rRNA from 1 species